GACGAACGCUGGCGGCGUGCUUAACACAUGCAAGUCGAACGGAAAGGCCCUGCUUUUGUGGGGUGCUCGAGUGGCGAACGGGUGAAUAACACGUGAGUAACCUGCCCUUGACUUUGGGAUAACUUCAGGAAACUGGGGCUAAUACCGGAUAGGAGCUCCUGCUGCAUGGUGGUGGUUGGAAAGUUUCGGCGGGUGGGGAUGGACUCGGGGCUUAUCCGCUUGUUGGUGGGGUAGUGGCUUACCAAGGCUUUGGCGGGUAGCCGGCCUGAGAGGGUGAGCGGCCACAUGGGGACUGAGAUACGGCCCAGACUCCUACGGGAGGCAGCAGUGGGGAAUAUUGCACAAUGGGCGGAAGCCUGAUGCAGCAACGCGGCGUGCGGGAUGACGGCCUUCGGGUUGUAAACCGCUUUCGCCUGUGACGAAGCGGGAGUGACGGUAAUGGGUAAAGAAGCACCGGCUAACUACGUG
rnacentral:rRNA from 1 species